rnacentral:lncRNA from 1 species
CUCAAAGUUACUUUCGGAUGCUUGCCUGAUCAUGAUCACCUGAGUCCCCAGAACAGACACAGAUCACAGUUUCCUAAACCAUAGCUAGUGACCCACUCUGAGGAGGCCUGGCUAAACAGAUAAAAUGAAAAAUUGGCAACAAUAAGUUUGCCAGAUGUUCAAACACUGAAAUUUACUUCAAAAUCAAAAUCUAAAUAAGCCUGAUUGUCUCUGGCAGUGCUAGCCUGCAGCCUUGGUUCUGAAGACCGCUCCCUUUGCACUGUGCGUGCCCGUCCACCACAAGUUGCCAGUGGAAGCCGAUAGAAUCACCUCAGCGCAGAUUCCAGGCUGUUCUGUGGUACAGAGACUGCAAGGAUGUUGACUGUCCCAGAAAUGGGCCUUCAAGGGCUGUAUAUCAGCUCUAGUCCAGAAAGGUCCCCGGUGCCCAGCCCUCCCGGCUCCCCAAGGACCCAGGAAAGCUGUGGCAUUGCUCCCCUCACGCCUUCACAGUCUCCAAAGCCAGAGGUCCGAGCUCCACAGCGGGCUUCCUUCUCUGUGGUUGUGGCCAUCGACUUUGGGACCACAUCCAGUGGCUAUGCCUUCAGUUUUGCUACUGACCCUGAGGCCAUUCACAUGAUGAGG